CCAGCCUGGACUGAGGUCCGCGCAUCUGCUAGGAUGCUGGCGUAAUGGCUGUAAGCGGCCCGUCUUGUAACACGGACCAAGGAGUCUAAC
rnacentral:rRNA from 1 species